rnacentral:rRNA from 1 species
UACGAAGGGGGCUAGCGUUGCUCGGAAUCACUGGGCGUAAAGGGUGCGUAGGCGGGUCUUUUAAGUCAGGGGUGAAAUCCUGGAGCUCAACUCCAGAACUGCCUUUGAUACUGAGGAUCUUGAGUUCGGGAGAGGUGAGUGGAACUGCGAGUGUAGAGGUGAAAUUCGUAGAUAUUCGCAAGAACACCCGUGGCGAAGGCGGCUCUCUGGGACGGUACUGACGCUGAGACGCGAAAGCGUGGGGGAGCGAACAGG